rnacentral:rRNA from 1 species
AUGGUCGCCCUCUCUGGUGCGCACACCAUAGGGAGGGCGCAGUGCAAGAACUUCAGGACCAUGCUCUACAGCGAGGAGAACAUUGACCCGGCCUUGGCGACGUCGCGCAAGGCCACCUGCCCUCAGCUAACCGGCUCUGGCGACAGCAACUUGGCCCCAUUGGACGAUACGAUCCCGGACAUGUUCGACAACGCCUACUUCGUCAACCUCAAGCUCAAUAAGGGGCUCCUACACUCCGACCAGGUGCCCUACACCCUUGCCGGUGGUGCCACCGAAGACAUCAUUGACGGCUUCGCAUCUAACCAGGAUGCGUUCAACAACGCCUUUGCCGCAGCCAUGGUGAAGAUGGGGAACAUCAGCCCCUUGAUUUUCCCACAGGGUCAGGUCAGGCGCAUCUGCUCCAGGGAAAACUAA